GGCGAACGCUGGCGGCGUGCUUAACACAUGCAAGUCGAACGGAAAGGCCCUGCUUUUGUGGGGUGCUCGAGUGGCGAACGGGUGAGUAACACGUGAGUAACCUGCCCUUGACUUUGGGAUAACUUCAGGAAACUGGGGCUAAUACCGGAUAGGAGCUCCUGCUGCAUGGUGGGGGUUGGAAAGUUUCGGCGGUUGGGGAUGGACUCGCGGCUUAUCAGCUUGUUGGUGGGGUAGUGGCUUACCAAGGCUUUGACGGGUAGCCGGCCUGAGAGGGUGACCGGCGACAUUGGGACUGAGAUACGGCCCAGACUCCUACGGGAGGCAGCAGUGGGGAAUAUUGCACAAUGGGCGGAAGCCUGAUGCAGCAACGCCGCGUGCGGGAUGACGGCCUUCGGGUUGUAAACCGAUUUCGCCUGUGACGAAGCGUGAGUGACGGUAAUGGGUAAAGAAGCACCGGCUAACUACGUG
rnacentral:rRNA from 1 species